UACAGAGGUCCCGAGCGUUGUCCGGAAUUAUUGGGCGUAAAGAGCUCGUAGGCGGUGUGUCGCGUCGGCCGUGAAAACCUGCAGCUUAACUGUGGGCGUGCGGUCGAUACGGGCAUCACUGGAGUUCGGUAGGGGAGACUGGAAUUCCUGGUGUAGCGGUGAAAUGCGCAGAUAUCGGGAAGAACACCGGUGGCGAAGGCAGCUCGCUGGGACGUUACUGACGCUGAGACGCGAAAGCGUGGGGAGCAAACAGG
rnacentral:rRNA from 1 species